CCUACGGGAGGCAGCAGUGAGGAAUAUUGGUCAAUGGACGAGAGUCUGAACCAGCCAAGUCGCGUGAAGGAUGACUGCCCUAUGGGUUGUAAACUUCUUUUAUAAAGGAGUAAAACGAGGCACGUGUGCCUUUUUGCAUGUACUUUAUGAAUAAGGAUCGGCUAACUCCGGGCCAGCAGCCGCGGUAAUACGGAGGAUCCGAGCGUUAUCCGGAUUUAGUGGGGUUAAAGGGAGCGUAGAUGGGUUGUUAAGUCAGUUGUGAAAGUCUGCGGCUCAACCGGAAAAUUGCAAUUGCUAAUGGCAGUGUUGAGUACGGUUGAGGUAGGCGGAAUUCGGGGUGUAGCGGUGAA
rnacentral:rRNA from 1 species